rnacentral:tRNA from 1 species
GCAGAUGUAGCUCAGCGGGACAGUGUGUCCUUUGUGUGUAUGAGGUCCUGGGUUUGAUCCCCAACAUGCGUA